rnacentral:lncRNA from 1 species
AUUGGCUGUUCCCUUUAGCGGCAGCAGCCCCUUUUUUAUUUUUGUAUUGUUUUAAUUACAAAUGCACUUUAAUAGACACUUGCGCGAGGUGCAAUAAUAGUUAAAAUAGUUAGCGAUGCUUUUAAUUAGGGACAAAAGUCGUUGCGCUAGCAUUAAAUAGCGUCCAAAGAUGCGAUUGCACGGCCGAGACGACGCGGACGGGCGUGUUUACGCUGAUGUGCGCGCGGGCUUUAUCUCGCACGCUUCCAAAGCUUCUCGUCUGCAGGUGCCCCGGGGUCGCCGCCGAGAAUUCCCGCAAGGGCCUUAGGUCAUUACAGAGUUUGUCUGGUUGUCACUGAAACACUCGUCAGGGUGAUCAUCGGAGUCAACUUGCACGGGACACGCCAAACUCUGCUGUUCAACCCUUGCCACUAGCUGCUCGCUCCCGGUUGGUUCGCCUCUCCUAUUCCUGGCUGGAUCCCCUUCACCAGAAUUUAGUUGCACUAAAUUUCUCAUGUGGCAUGUUAAGUAUUCUGUACACAGUUUCCCAGUCACAUCACUUUGUAGCCCUAAAUAAUUGUGUUGUGUGUGUUUAGGCUGCCAGAAGUUAUUCAGCCUCAGUGGGCAUCAGGUGUCUCAGCUGUAGGGGAGAAAUGUAGCCAGUGCAGUACCCCUGCAAGCCUAGGGUCUUUAACGACCCUAGGCUUUAGCGAAAGCUCUGCAGCGCGAGCUUUCGCUCCAUGUGCUCCGAGCUGUUGUGCGCUACUCCACUCGUCCACCAAUCCCCCUCUUUUAGCUUGUCUUACUAAACUGACUGACUGCAAGCUCAUUUCCAUAAAAAAUAUCAACAUGUGUUCACAUUUGAGAUAACAAAAACAAUCUCUAAUUUUAGCAGUAGCCUGCAUAGCGUUCGACAUCCUAUACUCCUGGCUAAAAUGUAUGUUCUACCACUUUUGCAGUUGUACACUGUUAGUGCAGACAGGACACCUGUGUUAUUUCACAUUUUACUCAAACAGGGUAUGGGCAAGCAUAAAACAUUUACCGCUUCAAUUGGUUACCUGAAUGAUCAUUCUCCGCCAUACUGUAGUCGUUUAAAUGACAGCCUCACAACUUAAAAUACGAACAAAAAAAACCAGCUCUUGCUUGUUUGUGCUGUGUUGCACCUGUGUUGCCAUCCUCGCAUAAAGCAUCAUGUUUAUAAUGUAUGUCGCUGUCAUCUUGCGUCUCCAUUUGUUUCUCUGGCCAACCGACAUUCAUGAAACACAGCUGAAAAGUCUUGUCUCCUAUUUCCUCUCGCUACUUCUGUGACUCGCAAUGGUUUAACAGUGUAUGAAAGGGGUGGGGCAAUGAUUUUCAUACUUUGGCCUACUAACUGCAAGAACUAAUCUGUGUCACUUAUAGAAUAAAGAACAUUCCUGCGUGCGCUAGUUCUUAUUUAAAAAAAUUAAACAAAUCAAAGGUGAAAGUGCCCAUCAACUCUCACGUCGUCUUUCAAGUGACGUCUCUGGGGGCCACCUGGCUUCCUUUUGUGUUCUCCCUCACAAACCCCAGAAGCUUCCUUUGCAAUUGUCGACUUUUCAAAGAUAAGCAUCGCCGCAGGUCGUGGCAAGCGAUCGACACAAAGGACAGUUUGUCACGGGGCUGCUGGCCAGUGUAGCAGGAGAGGGGGACAGGUUUUGUUGACUUCCACGAAUACACCAGUGACGUGCCAGGGUAGGUGCGGUGCAAGCUACAUGCUCAUUGGACCAGUCAUAUUUAAAUCUUUCACCAUGUAAUUACGCGUUCAUUCAUGCCCACACUCAGAGAGUGGGGUGAGGUGAUGAAAGGGAGGUGGUUGAUGGGUUCGGAGAGCGCAUAGCUCCCACAUCACUGACAGCUUAGGAGUGAACAGAGUAUAGAGUACUUUCUGCUAACAUAUCUCCUUAUUCUUCAAGAGCCAUGUCACUUCUUCAUUCCUAAUUACUGAGAAACUACUCAAUGUUAAUAGGUUUAUAAAUCUACUUGCUAAGCUUUGAUCGUUAAACCUUGAAACAAUUUUUGAAGUCCUAGGCACAAAGACGGCCCAACCUUGAUAACGAAUGAAGUCCAUGAACCGAGAUGUAAGUGUUACAAAACUUCAAUUACAGUCGUGAGUUUUGUAUUCACCAUGGGUAUGCCACAUUUAAGUGCAUUCCUAAAUGUGGGAAAUGCUUAUGUAGUGCCCUCUGCAGUUUUCCAUCACUUAGGGACUGUAGCUUGCUUUCUCGUCAGUUGUGUUUUGCUCUCGUGCAGCUUUCCAAAUGGACGACAAAGUAAUGUGGUUGUAGGUUUAGAAAAUAUAUUUGGAAUAAAAAUCGCCUCAAACCUUUCUAAAUGCUGCAAGUUCAAGCUCCUAUCUUUUUAGAGGCACUCUUAACAGUGAGCACCUUUUGACAAGUUCUUUUUGGUAAAUAACACCAAACUUGUGAUAUCACAAGAAAUACAGUAGACUCUCACUAAUUCAAACUCUAGGAAGCUGCGACUUUCGUUUGAAUUAUCAGAAUUUUAUCUAAAUAUGAUGCAAGAUAAAAUUAUGAUUUGCCAUAUGAAUGGCUACACACAGAAAGCAGAUAUAUUUGAUGAUUUCCUCUACACAGGCCUACUGAUCAUAAGCAGGUAUGCCAAAAUUGAAACAUUUGUGAAAUGUAUGACAUAGUUUAUUUAUACCUUGCAAAUGUUAUUUGUCGUGGACCGUUAGACAGCACAUGACAACUCAAAACAAAAUUAAGCUUGUUCAUUGGGCCAAGAAGUUGUCUAAUACGAACUAUUAAGCAGGGGACACACAAGCGAUGAGAAUGGGCACCGCGCAGCAGUUUUCAUAGCAACUUGCACAGACGCUGUGAUGUGGACCUAUGCGAUGCCGCAGCGUCCGCUCAAGUUGCUAUGGAAAUUUUCGUGUGAUGCCCGUUUUCAUAGCUCAUGUGUGCCCGCUUGAGCCCCGUUGAGUGCGCUUCUCACCAAGCACUGGUGCACUGGGGGAAGAAUCGCCCGCGGAAGCAAGAGCGGUAUAUAGAGAGAGUUUGGUCAAUGGGGGAAGCGGAAAGAGCCAGGUUGUGCACCAGACGCAGACAGAGGGCUUGACAUGCUCUCUUGGCCAACCAGAAGCCGAAAAUAAUUUCCUAGUGGACCACCACUAGGGGAUUAUUUUUGACUUUUGGUUGGCCAAGAGGGCAUUUCAAGCCCUCCAUCUGUCCGGUGGACGCCAAGUGCGUAAGAAUUAUAUAUAGUAAUUCUUCAUUGUUCAAAAUAUGGUGCACGUGUUGUUUCGAUUAUGAUCAUGGAAAAAGAUUUAAGAAACGAAUGUGCCACUCAAACCAGGGCUGGAUUAAGGUACGUAGCUAAGGGGGCUGCAACCUUGGGCCCUGGGCUCUCGGGAAGACCUGUGCUGGACCUUAAAACUUGUAAAAAGAAAAUUGUGUUUAAUUUACUACAGUUCAGACCAAGAGCAGAAAAAACACUAAGAAGUGCCUCUGGCGUUUUGGCCUUCUCGUUCCCUUCCUUUUUCUUUUUCCAGCAGGGAGAUGGGCAUACUAUGAAGUUCCAGUCUUUAGACUAGCUGGCAUUUGUGAGGUUGUUAUACAAGAGCGUGCCAGGUCAACAAAAGUAAGGUCGCCUCUCAUGCCCCUUGUCGGAGGGUGAAGCUGUCGACGCCGACGGUCACCUUGAAGUCUUCUAAUUUAAAC